GACAGAGGAGCCAAGCGUUGUCCGGAUUGACUGGGCGUAAAGCGCACGCAGGCGGCUCAGCGCGUGGGGUGUGAAAGGUGGCGGCUCAACUGCCACACGCCAUCCCAUACGGCUGGGCUCGAGCCAUGCAGAGGUCCACGGAAUUGCCGGUGUAGCGGUGAAAUGCGUAGAGAUCGGGAGGAACACCAGUGGCGAAGGCGGCUACCUGGACCAGCACUGACACUGAGGCACGAAAGCGUGGGGAGCAAACAGG
rnacentral:rRNA from 1 species